GCCUCUCUGAGGAGUGUGAGGAGGACAGUUCCACCUCCAAUAAACACUCAGAUCUAGUCCAGUGGGAGAGAUCAGAUUCUUCAGCUCCCAGCUGUGUGUCCUUUAAGAGUGAUGAGUCUAAAGAUUGUCCACUGUGGUUUAAAUAUGGAGACCCCUUAUCUGGACCCAGUCUAGUCCAGCGGGAGAGAUCAGAUUCUUCAGCUCCCAGCUGUGUGUCCCUAAAGAGUGAUGAGUCUAAAGAUUGUCCACUGUGGUUUAAAAAUGGAGACCCCUUAUCUGGACCCAGUCUAGUCCAGCCGGAGAGAUCUGAUUCUUUGGCUCCCAGCUGUGGGUCCCUUAAAAGAGAUGAGUCUAAAGAUUGUCCACUGUGGUUUAAAGAUGGAGACCCCUCAUCUGGACACAGGUAACAGCUCCUCACAGUUCAGCCCUCAGACUCUCCAGUACUGAGUUGUAUUAUGGAUUCUGUGCAGG
ensembl:lncRNA